UACGUAGGGUGCAAGCGUUAAUCGGAAUUACUGGGCGUAAAGCGUGCGCAGGCGGUUUUGCAAGACAGGUGUGAAAUCCCCGGGCUUAACCUGGGAACUGCAUUUGUGACUGCAAGGCUAGAGUGUGUCAGAGGGAGGUGGAAUUCCGCGUGUAGCAGUGAAAUGCGUAGAGAUCGUAAGGAAGACCAGUGGCGAAGGCGGGUCUCUGGACAGUUCCUGACACUGAGGCACGAAGGCCAGGGGAGCAAACGGG
rnacentral:rRNA from 1 species